ACGAACGCUGGCGGCGCGCCUAACACAUGCAAGUCGAGGGACGAAGCGGGGGCUUGCCCCCGUGGAAACCGGCGAACGGGUGAGUUACACGUGAGGAACCUGCCCCGAAGACUGGAAUAACGCCGGGAAACCGGUGCUAAUGCCGGAUGUCCUCCUUUCACCACAUGGUGAGUUGAGGAAAUGGUCCGCCGCUUCGGGAUGGCCUCGCGGCCUAUCAGCUUGUUGGUGGGGUAACGGCCCACCAAGGCUACGACGGGUAGCUGGUCUGAGAGGACGAUCAGCCACACUGGGACUGAGACACGGCCCAGACUCCUACGGGAGGCAGCAGUGGGGAAUCUUGCGCAAUGGGCGAAAGCCUGACGCAGCGACGCCGCGUGCGGGAAGACGGCCCUCGGGUUGUAAACCGCUUUCAGAGGGGACGACAUUGACGGUACCCACAGAAGAAGCCCCGGCCAACUAUGU
rnacentral:rRNA from 1 species